AGGUCGCUGCCGGGCCGGCCCGGGUGCCCGGCGUCAAGGUGAGGGCGUCCCGAAGACCGGCGUUUCCCGUUAGACGCAGGCGAGGCCCCUCCCCCCGGCCAACACUCACUGACGGACUCCACCGCCUCCAGCCGCCCGCGGGCCGGGGCCUCUGAACAGCUGGCCUCCAACGCGAACGAAAGGCGCCAAGCGCGUCAGAGCCGACAUGCCAGCCGGCGUCCGGAGAGCCCCUCUCAGGCCGCCCCGCCUUCCGCGUCACUUCCGCCGGCGCCCCGGCCCGUGACGUCACGGCGUCGCCCCGCCGGUGACGUAUGGGGGCGGUGUUCUCCCGCCUCGCCUGCCGCCUCCCUCCGCUCCUGCGACAACCUCCCGACGGCUUCUUUCAGGUCUUCGUUGUUUGUUGUUCUGCAAACUCGAACACGAGCCUGCGCCAGUGGUUCCCGAGUAUCAGUAGGAGACAGAGAGAGGCAGAGACACGGGCAGAGGGAGAAGCAGGCUUCUCGCAGGGAGCCUGAUGCAGGACUCAAUCCUGGAUCCUGGGAUCACGACCUGAGCCGAAGGCAGACGCCCAACCGCUGAGCCACCCAGGUGUCCCUUGAGAGAAUGCAUUUUAGAAGUGUUCAUUUUCUGUUGCUGCUGUAAAAUUUCCUGAGGACCCGAGGCCCUCAGUCCAGCAGUCCAUGAAGAACUGAAUCGUGCCAACCACCAUGUGAAUGAGCUUGGGAUCAGACCCACCCUAUGGAGCUUCAAGAUGCCUACAGCCCUUGCAAAACCCUGAGCAGGGAACCCUGGGAAGCAGCACCCAGAUUUCUGACUUGCAGACACUUGUGUGUGCACCUGACACGACAGCCCUGUGUCUGGCCGGAGUGCCCGUGAGGAGAGCCAACGGUGCCACCACCCCUUCCCAGCUACCUAGAGCCACCCCAGCCCCUCAGUGCCGGACUAGAACGGCCUCCCCUCAGGACUUGGUAAGUAGAAAUAACAUCUCUCUCUUAGAAAAAAUUGUCCCCAAUGAACCUCUGUCCGACUAAACCUUAAUUCCUUACCAAAAGACAGAAAGGCGGGGCACCUGGGUGGCUCCAUCAAUGAAGUGUCUGCCUUCGCCUCAGGUCAUGAUCCUGGGGUCCUGGGAUCGAGUCUGCAGAGUCUGCAUCGGGCUCCCUGCUCAGUGGGGAGU